rnacentral:rRNA from 1 species
CGAUAACGAACGAGACCUUAACCUGCUAAAUAGCUGUAACAAUAGAUUAUUGUUUUGACAGCUUCUUAGAGGGACUAUCGAUUUUCAAGUCGAUGGAAGUUUGAGGCAAUAACAGGUCUGUGAUGCCCUUAGACGUUCUGGGCCGCACGCGCGCUACACUGACGGAGCCAGCGAGUCUAACCUGUGCCGAGAGGUAUGGGUAAAGUUGUGAAACUCCGUCGUGCUGGGGAUAGAGCAUUGCAAUUUUUUCUCUUCAACGAGGAAUUCCUAGUAAGCGCAAGUCAUCAGCUUGCGUUGAUUACGUCCGUGCCCCCUUUACCCCCGCCCG